GAUGAACGCUGGCGGCGUGCCUAAUACAUGCAAGUCGAACGCAUUGUGGUUGAAAUGAUAUGAAGAACUUGUUCAGAUUUGAUUUUCAACAUUGCAAUGAGUGGCGAACGGGUGAGUAACACGUGGGAAACCUACUUCUUAGCAGGGGAUAACAUUUGGAAACAAAUGCUAAUAACCGUAUAAUAAUUAAAACCGCAUGGUUUUAGUUUAAAAGAUGGUCUUGCUAUCACUAAGAGAUGGUCCCGCGGUGUAUUAGUUAGUUGGUGAGGUAAAUGGCUCACCAAGACAAUGAUACAUAGCCGAGUUGAGAGACUGACCGGCCACAAUGGGACUGAGACACGGCCCAUACUCCUACGGGAGCAGCAGUAGGAAUCUUCCACAAUGGACGAAAGUCUGAUGGAGCAACGCGCGUGUGUGAUGAA
rnacentral:rRNA from 1 species